UUCCAUGACCCUGGCCACAUCCAAGUUUAAUAGGCUACUAUUAAUAACUUUUAAAACCAUGAACGCAGAGACUGUCAACAAAUACAGCAAAGCGCUGCUGUUUUUAUAAGAACAACAUGAAUUUGUGCAUGAGGCAGAUGCGGUGCGACUCUAGUUUCACCAUCAGGUGGAAGACGGUGUUCCCUCUCUCUGGUCAGUCUCACCGGAGGAAAGGAAGGAGAGAGCAGGGACCGUGAGAGGCAGUUGGGAAAAAUCGUUUUGAACAGUCGUCCAACUCGGAAUUCCAAUUUGAAAACUUGGGCAUCUUUCUAGAGCUUCGACUUUUCGACCUGAAGAUCACUGACGUCGUGAUUUGACCUCGUUGACCAUCAGGGCCCAUCUGUGGAGGAUCAAGCUCAACCCCCCAGAAAACCCUGAGUGUUCACUUCUACAGGCACACCAAAAGAACCAAGAAAGUGGAUCUUAAACUGUAUGGACAGGCACUCCAGAUGACCCCAAUGGUCAAGUUCCUUGGGGUCCCAUUCCAAGAAAACAUGUCUGGGAGUGCCCACAUAGAGUGCCUGGAGAAGGGGGGAAGGAAGCGCCUGAGGAAGAAAAGGAGGAGACACACCCGGAACAACCAUAAGAGUGUACCAGAGCUACAUCCAGAUGCUCUCUGAGUCUUCUAUAAUAUGCUAUAGUAAUGGG
rnacentral:lncRNA from 1 species